rnacentral:tRNA from 1 species
CAGGGAGACAACAAAAUGUUAAAUAUUAAUUUUGUCACCUUAGGUCGAUCGGUAUCUCACAUUCUUAAUUUAUUAAGGAUUUUAUUUCCUAAGUUUUUUCUAGGUCACACCCAUCACUUUUCCUGGGCCAUUAGCUCAGGUGGUUAGAGCGCACCCCUGAUAAGGGUGAGGUCCCUGGUUCAAGUCCAGGAUGGCCCAUUCGGUGUUGGGGGUAUAGCUCAGCUGGUAGAGCGCCUGCUUUGCAAGCAGGAUGUCAGCGGUUCGAGUCCGCUUACCUCCACUGGCCGACCCCUUCAGCUAUUAAGUUUGAGGGCCUUUGUAUGAUGUGAUUUAGAUUGAUCCGCUGAGAUUGAACCUAGCUUCCUUUCAUUCCAUGCCUUGUUUGGGCAAGGUUGACAGGACGCUGGGCUCACUUCAAACCGUAAGGCUUGGAGAGAAGUUCAGCAGAACCUUGACAACUGCAUAGGUAAGUCUGGAAAAAAUAAAGCAUCUCAUGGAUGCAUUGUUUUACCACUUAUUUCUUUUUGCUAUUAGCUAGAGAAUUAAAGUAAAAUGGUGUUAUUUCUUGAGCAAGAGCCGAGACUCUAUAGCUUUUCUUUUUAUGCUUUCUGCAUAAAGAGUUUGAUCUGUGAUUCAAGAUUGAUUAUGAAUUAACAGACUUUUUCUGUUAAUUCAUAAACCAAUCAUGAAUUAUUGAAAAUUACGUUUUCAACUGCGUAAAUGCUAUAGAGAUUAAUUU